rnacentral:tRNA from 1 species
GGGCCCAUAGCUCAGUUGGUUAGAGCGUCCGGCUCAUAACCGGCAGGUCCCAGGUUCGAAUCCUGGUCGGCCCACCA